UACGAAGGGGGCUAGCGUUGUUCGGAUUUACUGGGCGUAAAGCGCGUGUAGGCGGGCUGGAAAGUUGGGGGUGAAAUCCCGAGGCUCAACCUCGAAACUGCCUCCAAAACUUCCAGUCUGGACUCAAGCAGAGGCAAGUGGAAUUGCGAGUGUAGAGGUGAAAUUCGUAGAUAUUCGCAGGAACACCAGUGGCGAAGGCGACUUGCUGGGCUUGUAGUGACGCUGAGACGCGAAAGCGUGGGGAGCAAACAGG
rnacentral:rRNA from 1 species